rnacentral:lncRNA from 1 species
CCAAGUCCAAUAGGUCUGCUGCAUCAAGUCAAACUAGUAUCAUAGUAUAUCUACAAUUACGAAUGUAUAACAUAGACCAAUUUUAUAGGGUAACCACUAAAACUUUAGCAUGAAGUAUAUUGGGUUACACAGUUAAAGUUUAAUUCCCUUUAGAUCACUAUACCAGUGGGCCUAUGAGAUUGGGUGGUGACAGGAAGACAUACUGAGGUAAAUGAAUUCAUUUGCCGUCUUAUUUUUCUGCACACUGUCGCUUCUACACUGAGAUAUAUGAAUAAAUUGUUUAUAAAGAAUUUAGAGUGGGGUAAAAAGAGUGUAGAAAACAUACUCGGGAUCAAUAUAUCCAGGGGUGCCAACCACUGUCCCUGUGGACACAUGGGUUUGCUCAUCGCUAUGGAAAGAUUUGGAUAACCCAAAGUCCCCUAUUCUAGCCUCUAGUUCUUCGCUCAAGAGAAUGUUGCUGCUCUUGACAUCUCUAUGGAUUAUUGGAGGCUUGCAUCCUUUGUGCAAAUAAUCCAGCCCUGUCGUAUAAAAUAGAGAUUAAGUAAUUAUACCAAACGCAAGUACACAGACAAAAGAUUCUCCAAAACCUUGUGCAGCAUCCAGUGCAAUUUGAAGCCGCUGUCCCCAACUCAAGACUUUGGCACAACCAGCCUUAUCUGUGAUGAUUAUAAGUUAGAAAACCCAUGGAGACAAAUUAACAAAAUAUCAAUAGGAAAUAUUUGUGGAGAAGUUACUUCUUAAACUCAUAGUUACUUGCUGCAUAAUUUCUUAGAUACCUCCCUCAACUAAUGGGUUUCAAGCAACGAGCCAAGAGAUAUAUUAAUCUUCAAUGCUCUGAUAUACCCUAUGUCCCUAUCAGCCCCUUUAAAAAAUGAUUCCAAGCAUUUUACCCCUUCCUAAUCAGGAAAAGUUGAACAUUUGGCUUAAAAUUGAACUUUGUAAUGAUCCUCCAAGUCCCUAAACUUCUUUCUCAAUCAUUGUGCAUAUGAAAAUAAUUUACAUUAAUCAUUUAACAGGAAAGCAUGAAGCCUCUGGAGAAUUAAAUCAUGUCCUUUACAAUUCAAAAUUGAUCUUAAAGAAUAGUUGUAACAGUGCUCAUGUUCAGUAUCACUAAACCUCGUAGAUGGUCUUGGAGGCUUCCUUGCUUCAUGUAUUCGUAAACAAGCGCUAGGCAAUUCCCAUCCAUGCAAUAACCAACCAGAGAAACCAGAUUCCUGUGGUAGAUCUUCGUCAGGUUCUGGGCCUGCAGAAUGAAGUGCAAAAUGUUGUCAAGAAAUAUUCUAAAAAAUAAAUUGUUAUAUAGAAUAGCUACAAGCUAUGUAAGGUAGCAUUCUGACGUCAAUACCAAGAAAUAUGUAAGCUGAAUUAACCUUCAGCUGUUUAAGAAGAGUGUUUUGGCAUCUCAUCUUGGUUAGCAUCAAUACCAACCUUUUCAAUUCAGGAGUGUUAAGACUUCAUAAUUAUAUUGGCCUUUAAACUAACCACUUAAACUUUUGAGAUUUGUAGUAACUUAAUCGAAAUUUUAGUCAUGGUGUAAGAGCAUGUUAUGAGUUUGAAGCCUGUACUUGCCCCCUCUUUGUUUCAUCUCAUUCUUUAACUAAUAUUUGUGAAAUUUUUACUCUGUAUUUGACUUGGAUCAUACAUUUGGGUUCAAUUUUACAUGUCAAGUUUAAAUCGGGGAGAGGUGAAUAUUAGACUUCAUGAAUAUAUUUGACUCAUUACUACCAACUUAAGUAUUUCGGGAUUUGUGAUAAUCCAAUAAAAAAUUUUUAUCGAGUAACAAUCACACUCAAGUCAUCUAAUAAUCUUAUUUCAAAGGUCAAAUAAAAUUUCUAUACCUCAGCCAAAAAUUCCUUCAUUCCUUGUGGUGAUGAUACAGAAUGCAUCUUGAUCGCAACUUGCUUUCCAGUUUCCAAGCAACCAUGAUAAACCAUGCCAAAACCUCCUUUCCCGAUGACCGUUGUAAACUUAUUUGUUAUGUUCUCCAACUGUGUGUAUGUAAACUGCCUACUCUCAAAUGAAAUUUGAUGCUCUCUCUGCCGAGGGUAGACUACACUAUGUGACUGAACAAAGGUAUUAGAGGUCCGACCUAUCAGAAAAGAACAAGAAGUUGACUAUUAGCACUCAAUGCAGAUUUUGAAAAUGAUGGUGUGGUACACCAAGCUCAUUUUUCCUCUUCAAAGUAUUACCUUGCUGCUUUCUGAUGUUACAUACCACAGCUACCAAUAUUAUCACAAGAAGUAGCAGCCCAGACACUGCUGCGAUAAUUACAAUGAUAGCUGUUUUAGACCUUGAUGAAGACGCUUUGUUACAGCCAUUUUUGUCAAGCCUGACAUCAUGAAUGUUUAAAAAGUAUCGUCAGUUGAUGUAAGCUCCAUAUAGGCAGUAGGGUAAAGUCUAGUAGCAAUCAACACUUAUUCAGUUAUUGCAUGACAUUAGUGAUUAGAGCUAGAAGAUGGCAAGUGCACAACAUUAAUCCCGAUAACCUUUACUCUAAAUUUCACUUUUAGAAAGAGGUUCAAGACGAUCUCAGUGGACAGCAAAAUCAUAUAGUGUGUUUAACAACAAUCACAAUAACAACAAAACAUCAAGUCUCAACAAUUUGGAGUCGGCUACAUGAAUCUUUUGCCGUCAUUGAGAUCUGUCAUAUAGUGAGUUAAAUAUAUGAAAAUAAUCUAUGCCACCCCAAUCAUUCUAACAAGCUAUAUUUCCUACCUAAGAAUGAUUGGGAAAUAUAACUAGCCUGUUUGCCAACUAAAAUUCCUUCACCUAACAUGCAAUUCAACUAGCCUUUUUGCCAACACUUUUUCACCAACCAACAAACAGAGAAAGAACACAAGCCUCUUUCAAACUGCUACACUAUCUGAAGAUCCAAAAAUUAUAAAAAUCUUUUUUUGUCAAAAAAAUCUAAAAAUCAAUCAGCUUUAACCAGCUGUGUGUUUCAUGCCAAUUUUCGCACAUAAAAAAAUUGCCAAAUCUUGUGCAUGAGUAUUUCAGUUGGUAUUGUUUAAUUUUAAAAAAUAGUUAAGCAUAUAAAUAACCCAUGGUAACAUUACCCCCCAAGUAACUCAGUGUUUCAAUUACAAGCCUAUGGUUUAAAGAAUUUGGUAAAUGGAUUAUGAUUUUGUCCAGUUGCAUAUUCUAUUGACCAUUUGUGCUUCAUUGCUCUAUUGUUUCUUUAUUUCUUUGUAAACUAUUAUAUGCUUACCUUGUCCGUUGGGAAUUCACUUUAGUCAAUAAUAACAAAUGAAAAGGAUGUCUGGGGUGGUAAGUCAACAUAUGAACAUGAUGACCCGUUAUUCAUUAGCUUAAGCUUUUGCAUUGUGGCAUCCUCGUGUGUGUAUGCGCAUGAGCCUUCUUAUUGGUAGGAGACUUUGGGUCCAAUUCUCCCCCUGACAAGUGGCAUUAAAGCUCAUAUAUUGGUUUGUAUAGAUCAGUGCCAGACUCAAGAGACAUAAGAAUGUGAAAUGGCUAGUGUCUAGUUCAUGAGCCAAGUAAGAAGUUGUGUGCUCAGAUGUGAUUAAUUUGCUUGGUGAGAUAGGUUUGAUUUCUAAGGUGUGAUUAAUUUGGAAGCCCAUAAUCCAUAACUUGUGGACAUCAUAUGGCUGACCCAUACAGGAAACUAUGAACAAUGUCUCACACAUAGUAAAUUGAUGAGAUUGUUGGGUGUUCAGUUUGGCUUCAAGCGUUUGUUGGGUAUUCAUUUGUGAUUAGAAAGAUUUACAUGUGAAAGAUAUGAGAUUAAGUAAAUUCAUUGUAGUAUCCAAUUGUGAGUAUGGAAAAGAUAUCUCAUGGAAUAUAUAUGAGAAUUGCGUAAAAAGGGGGUGGCCUAGUGCAUAAAGCUCUAGAAAUGCUAGAUUUGGGAGGAUCAAUGUAUAUACUAUAUAGUCUUGCCCAUAUAAGCAAAAAGACUACUGUUGAUGUGUGUGUAGUGUGUAUGUGAACCUUGCUGAUGUUCGCAUGGAACCUUCUAUUGGCAAGGGAAUUUGUGUAAGAUUCUUUCCAAGACUCUCAUCAUGUUCAAAUCAACACUCAUGUAUUCACAUCUAUAUUUUGUGCUUUACACAAGGCAAGCCUUGUUCCUUUCAGGAAGAAAUUUGCAUAAUGGCUUUCCACCAGGUACACAGUUUCCAUAUAUCUCUGGAAGUGACUAAUUAGUACAAGGAAGCAACUUAGGUAAGAUGAGACCAACGCAGAAAUGGAGGAGAGUGGAAGUAAGAUUCAGGUACUUUAGUAGUUCCAUGACAUAGAAUGUCUGAUAUGAAUAAUCAAAGUGGUAUAUGAUGCUACUGCUUUAUAAGAAGAAUGGACAACCUAUGUGAUCACAUACAAAAGUACUUCUUGACAUGAUCUAGAAUUCCAGUGAGUUCUGGGAGUGCCAUAUUAUGUUAACACAAGUACCUUUUCACCAAGAUAUAUUUGGAAUAGUUUCCGUGGACAAAAGGAAUGUAGUCUGGUAGGAUGAAAAUACAAUAUUUACUGAUACAACCCCUAAAACAUACAUGAGCUUGAUAAAAAAACAAACCUGAGUAUAAGUAACCCAGCAUCUGACCUUUUGCAGAGUUUCUCAGGAACAGAUCCAUUGAAAUUGUUUCCUGCCAAAUUUCUUAAACAAUACAUUGCUCUUCAAUAUUCCUAUUUUUCAUCUAUGUUCUGUAUAAAAAGUUGAAUAACUUACAGAAUUUGGAGUGAUACAAGAUUUUCAAGAGAAUCGGGUACUGUUCCUGUUAAAUUGUUAAAAGACAAAUCUCUGCAAUAUAACAUAAAAAAGAAUCAAUAUUAAGCAGCAAAAGUCCUUGAGAAUAAAAAAUUAAUCCAGUGAAUUUGUUUUUUUGUCAAGUGUUUGCUUGAAACAGCAUAAACUUUUGACAUUAAUCUUAUAUAUCAAAAGCCUGCAUAAACUCUGAUGCAAAACACUUACAGGACAAGGAGAGAUGAUAAACUGCCUAGAAAAUCAGGUAUUGUUCCAUUAAAGCUGUUGUGAGACAAGUCCCUGGAAUUGAAAUUAUAUAUUGAUCAUUUAGUGCAUGAACAGCUCGACAUAACAACUGUGCUCUCUGUAUUACAUGAAGUCAACAGUCUACCUUCCAACAUUUAAAUCAUAAUUAAAGCAAACUGAUGAACAGCAAGUUUUGCUGGAUAAAAAUAUAACACCAUUCAGACCCGGUGAUUCAUAUGAAGACAUGAUUUUCUGUUCAUCUAGCAUGGAAGACCAUGCCUCUUUUUAGCUGUAAUAUUCUGAGCAAUACCAGAAGAAGGCGCUCGUACAGCUCCCAUUUGGUUAUCCAUAGUGUGGUCAAGAUAUAUGAUUAAUUUGUCUUCAGGCAUAAUCUUUGAAAGUUUACUAUUUUAAUAUAUAUAAUGGAUGGAAUUGCAAUCAAUACAACAACAACAAAACCGUAAGUCCGAACAUGGAAUUGCAGUCAAUACAAGUAAAAAAUGCUUGUAGUGCUCUGACAUGCAGCAUACUUGUACCCAUAAAGUGAUUGGUGUUGUCAAAGUGUAUUUAGUAUUUACAUCCUUGACAGUAGCUUAAACCAUUCAUAAAGCGAUAUGUUCAUUAGCACAUGAAACUUGUUUUGCAUGUAAGAGCUUCUUAACAUGUGAACUGCAGUAAUUUAGCCUCUAGGUUUAAGUCUUAAAUGUACAGAUCAUAUUGAGAACUCCAAGAAGCAUUCCAACCUUCUAUGUUGAAUAAUGCCUUUUGUAAAGGGAAUAGAGGCAAAAGGUAAGAUAAGCUAGUGACCCACAAAAAAUGCCUGCAACCAUUGAAUGACAAGUAAGCACUCUUUGGUGCAGAGUUAUUAACUAGCUGAUUUAUGUUGCAAUGUAAGCAUAAGCUGUGUGUUGUUUUCUUUGCUUGCAUAACUACAGCACUAAAACCAUUUCAAGAACACCUGUUAUAAUGUGGUUCUGCACUAUGUUGUGGUCAUGCCUGUAAAGCCCCUUAUUUCAGCAACUACUUAGAGGAUCACUUCCGUUUAGCUCAUGCAUUGUCUGAGAGAUUAAGAACUGGACGAAAAUAGAUAUCAUACCUAUGUAUGUCUUGAUGAUCAUUAUACUUUGUUGACCAAGUUACGACUGGAACAUCAGUAGAAAAAUGUUGUCAUCUAAGGUUAGAGAGCCUAUGUUGAUUUUUAUUACCUUACACUAAGAUUUUUGCUAGCCUUCCCUUAGAAUCGAACAGCAGACACUAAACUGGUAUGGACCAGGAGAAUUAGUUACUAAGUAAAUAAGCGACUGUAUAUACCUUACUUCCUGCACUGGUGCAAGAUUUAAAUUUUAUAAAGGUAGCAUUGAUAUUGAUCAGAGACAGUAACCCAUGGCACUUACUGGUAUUGGCUCAGAUAAUUAUUUGUUACUGGUUGGUCAUGGUGAUGCUUUACAUUUUGGAUCAAAUUAAAAAAUUUGCUUAUGCAUUAUGCUAAUUGUCUUGUUCAACAUUGCUGACAGAAAUAUGAUAUUAGGAGAAGCAAUCUGGGUAAUUGACUGAAAUAUUUCAAUAAAUUAUAACCCAAAUUACUUGCUCUAGAAAUGAGAACAAAAGAAAGUUGCACUUACAGGUACUUGACAGCUUCAAGCAUGGCAAAAGAGAUGUAUAUUUCACCAGUCAAUCCUCUGGAAGUCAAAUUUCUGCAAAAUAUUGCAGUUUACAAAACAUAUUUUGAGUACAAGUUUUAAUAAUAAACUCAAUGAUUCCAUCAAAUGAUUUUUUUCUCCCUCUUCUAAGUUUCUUGAACACUUACAUAUUUGUGAUCCUUGGUGGAUCAGUAUUGUAGCUACAAUUCAAGCCAUCCCAUACGUAUUCUUUCGGAGCACAUGGAUCACCCAUCCAAUUUCUCUUAAGUUGAUAGUGUGAUUUGAUUGCCAUCAUGGCGUCAACUGGUAUCCAGGAAAAUACAAGAAUUAACACACAUUAGUGUAUACUAGGAAUAUGAUUUGUUUAAUAGAAAAUAGUCACUAACUAAAAAAACCAUUUUAAUUUGGUAUCAGGCGUUCGCAGCCAGUAAUGAGAUAGAAAAAUAGAAGAACAAUAUAUUUUUGAGUUGUAGAAAUUAAGAUGUUACUUGUGAUUGCAGUCACAUAUUUGACCAAGCAUCAAUGUAGAAUAAUAAUCUAUAUAUUGGUACCACUUGUGGCUGUGCUGCAUAAUAUUCUCUAAUUAUUUUCAUAGGGAAGUGCUGCAAGUAAUUUGUGUCCAAUAGCUUCCAAAUUUCUUAGAUAUUUCAAAUUGUUAGGCAUGGCAAGAUUUAGUAAUGAAUAUUCCAGUAUUCCUUUUGCUUUUGGACUGGCUACAUGCCCAAGUUCAGUUUGUGGAACUUGAAUUAAACAGGGAGAUAUAUUAACCAAACGACUCUCUGUUCUGAAUUAUUAUACCACGUUCAAAUUAAUUAUCAGCAACUCAUCUUAAAAAUUAUUUAUCAGAAAUGACAGGAUUUAGUAUUUUUAUUCUAAAAGCUGUAACUAGUCAUAUCAUUUCCAAAUACAGACAAGAAAAAGAACCAAACAAAUAUUGUAAAGUCAUGAUUGUGUGGAAUGAGAAAUCAGAAAUAGCUAAACUAUCCAUAUUAAGACACAUCGAAUUACAGUAAAACUGGCCACAAAAAUCUAUCUUUUGGUUCUCAGCAUGCUCUGAUCUGGAUAGCUAUGCUGUUGGAAUGAGAAUUUACUACUGCAAGUAAAGAUAUUCUUAUUUAAAUUCAAAAUAGUAUCAAUUUCAUAUUUCAACACUUGAAUGGUGUUUGUGGUCAAACUACAACUCGUUUGGUUACUCCAUCCUUAGUAGGAACCAGUUUUGCAAAAUUUAAGGAAAAAAAAAGGAUCGUUCGAUCCCUGGAAUCUUAGAUUCACUGUCCAAAAUUUGGAUAAGUACAUACAGUCAACGAGAGCUAUUAGCAUACUCACAGUUAUUUCCAUUUCAAAAAAGAAAAUCCAGACUAGGUAUGUAGAAAAUUAUACUGUAUGCUUAGCAGAUUGAAUCUUAUGAUCCACCAAUGGACCAGCAUGCUUUGAAGUCUUAUUCCAGUCUGAAAUUUGCAACACAAACAAAUAUGAUAUCGAGUACAGAGCCUGACUCACUAAAUGGUGCAAAAUAAUUGCAAAAGAAGUGAUGUGAACACAAUUAGUACCCAUCCGACUUAGCUCAAUUACAACUAGAAAGUAUUGGAUCUGCUUUCACUCAAAGUUUGCUCAACUGGUUCCAAUUAGUAUUCAUCCAUGGGCUCGGCGAACACAAUCAGAUCAGAUCAAAAUUAGCCUAACCUAAACUCGGGCUGCCUUAAAAGAACCCAUUCUCCCAUCUUUUCUUUCUGUUUUAUCAUUAAAUUUACAACUCUUAAAAUCUUGGAUUUAUUUGUCUUGUUUAAAGGAAAAUGUGUUUUGUUGUAGUCGUUGCGACACAAACUAUUGCCAUCUUGGCACUUAUUUGAACCCUCCAUCUAUCAGUCCGUGCAAGGUAGAGGUUGUUCGCUUCUAAAACAUUAAAAACUGCCGCAGAGAAGACUGGUAAUUCACAAUCGGCACGCCACAAAACGAAAACACGGACAUCAAUUUUCCUAAUUUGACAUCUUAGCAAUGAUAAAUAUUAAUUUGGCUGCAUUCUUGAUGACAAGAAACAAAGAUAAAGCUUCGAUUACUUCAAGGCGAAGGAGAAGGCUGCAGCGCCUUACCGUCUGCGGAGUCGGUGGCGGUCUGUGUGAGCUGCAUCAACGUGUAGACCUCGAAGGCGUUGAUGAUGGGCGGGAGGGUGGAGUCGCUCGUCGCGUUGAGCACGUAUUGAUACUCAAAAUUGGCUUCGAAUGGCUCAGAGUCGUAUUGGCAAUCAGCCGAGAGGUAAAGCGGGGUAUACCCACUAACCCAGGACUCGUCAUUCCAGAUGAUGUCGAACACCCUCGUUGCGUUUCCCGUCAGAUUCUGGGGUUCGGCGAAGUGCAGAAUGGUGUAAAGCUUGUCGUCGGGGGAGACGGAGUCCCAGGCGAAGGCUAGCUGCGAGCCACUGGCCGGAGUCACCGCCGUCUGCAUCACAGCGGACGGCGGCUCGAACGGAUCGAACCUGUUGUCCACGGUCGAGUUGGUGGACAAGGUGAGCCAGGAGGGAUCGUUGUAGGGGUUCCAAACGCGAUCGUAAGGGUCGAUCGGGAACCUGUUCAUGAUAUCUCUCAGCAUAGCAGACAUGAAAAAUAUGAAAUGAAAUAAAUUGUAGUUUUGGGUCGGGGGCCCAACUAAGUUGUUUUGGGUCAAUUGGUCCAUGGCCCUUUUCACAUAACGGACAUGAGACAUCAAUAUCUUUGUUGGGGUUACUCCAGCUUACAGGAUUUUUAUCCCAUCAUGUGCAGACACGGUUUUCAAGGGGAGCAUAUAUAGGAAAACAUACUUUCAAUUAUUAAAUGGAUUGAUAGAAGGGCGAUUUCUUAGAAAAUAUUCUCAUUUUAUUAUUUUUAAUAUUAUUUAUUUUUCUUUUUGGUUUUUUUUUUUCUAAAUAGUAUUUUUAAUUCAAAAAACACUUUUUUCCUCUAAAAAAAAGUUGAAUGUAUUUUCUUUUUCAGUCAUUAGAGUGUUUUGAUCAUCGUAAUAAAAAUACUAUUAAAGUAUAUUUAAAAAUACUAUAAAUGAAUCAAAUGGAAUCGAAACAUACUAAAAAUCAUUUGAUACCAAGAUUUGGAUAGACAUUUAUAAUAAUUCAAUAAUAAUAUCACCUAAAUAGUAAUUAGAAAUUAAUUUAUUGUAAUAUUUUAGCCGCCAUAGUAAAGAAAAUAUAUUAAGAAAACUUGCUACAAUGUUCUGGCCAUCAUAAUAAAAAUACUACAAGAUAUUUUUUUUUUGUAAAAAAAAUAUAUCAAAUGAGGCUUCCAACAAUCAACCUUUGGUGACUUUGGUUUCGUAUACCACCAUCAAAUCAAACCAAUGUUUAAGAUAAAAAAUACUAUAAAACUUACAUGAAAAUAUUAUAAAUGAUCCAAAUAAAAAUUUAACCUCGAUUAGAUCAAUUAUAAACCUAAAAAUAUAAUUUUAUAAUGAGUUAUGAUAUGUACAAUAUACUUACAUGUUUUUCAAUAACGUUUAUAGUGUUUUUAGUAUCUCAAUAAAAAUAUUAUAAAUGAGUCAAAUAAAAAAAUACUGUAACAAUUCAAAAAAAUAAAAAUAAAAAGCCGAAAUUUUUGACGAAAAUAGUUGGUGAAGAAUAUUUUGAAUAUUUUUUUGAAUCAAGGAUCCUAUUUGGGAAAAUCCAAAAAAAAAAAAGACGUUAUUUAGAAAAAAGAAAAAAAAAAUGAAGACCUCUUCAAAGAAAAAUCGCCAUUCACAGAAACAAAAUAAAGAACUUUUAUGUUUCGCUGACCUCACGGUGUCGGAUGCUCCGAAGUUGCGCCGAGUGACGAGAACCACAGACUGCAAAGCAUUCACGUAUUCCCCGUAAAGACCGUUCCUGAGUGGCCUCAGCUCCAACGAAGAUAUAAAAGGAGUUCCACCUCCGGUGUUAACCAAACAAACCGAUGUGGAAUUGGCAGUAGCAAGACUCAGAGCCUCGGCCGUAUAGAUAGCAGAUGGAUCGGAGAUGGUCAUCGUCUUCCAAUGAUCGACUCCGAUGUGAAGGUCAAAUUGUAUUAGGCUAUUCUUGGCGUCGUAGUUUCCGUACAUGAAAGUUGCUCUGACAAGAUACGUAGUGUUACGAAGCACAGGCUUUAAGGUGUAGCAAUUCCGGAGUCCAUCAGGAAAGCUUCUGAGAUUGAGUUGUUGCGUUGGAAGAGAGGAGUUUAUGUAGUUUGAUUGGAUGUCGAAAUCUGAUCCCACGUCGAUAAAUCGGUCAUCGGAGACGUAUGUUAUAUUUGUACUAUGAUCGACGUAAUCAGAUUUGGAAUUGCCACAGUCGAUGCUUAUAAAGCCAGCUAAAAAGAAAAGAAUCACAACGAUUAAUUGCAAUCAGUUCAGUAUUGUUUAAUACCACGAGCAUGAUAUUAUAUCUAUAUUUCUCCCUUUACUAUAAACUAAUUAUCUAAAAAAUGAAAGGCGAUCGCCGUGAGCGCUGACCUUGCGGCGACUGGCCAUGAGCAGCAGGAAUGGCGGCGGCGAUGGCAAAGAAAAGAGCAACCAAGCACGAAGAUGAUGAUGCCAUGUUCCAAGUUCCAAGUGUCGUUGCUGAGUUCUAUCGGUGAUUUAUAUUCGGUGGUGGAGGCGUUCGUUAACGUAAGCACAUCGCAAUCAAAAGAGAAAAAAACCUCGUUAGUUGUAGCUACGUGAGCACAUCGCAAUCCAAACAGUUCACGUUUUAUCGCAACGCGAGCACGUGGUUUGUCCACGUGUAUACAGUGACUGGGUCCCGCUUUGCACGGAUUCUUUGUAAGAGCCGCACUGGCUGAGAGCGUGCUCCUCAUUUCUUAUCCGACACCCAAUCCGGUCAACCCUAAAUCAUGUAAUCGCGUCAACGGUGGAAUGGUCAACUGGGAAGAUGACCUGCUUUGUCGACGCAAGACUUGUAGGAAAUUAAAUAGAAAGGAAAAUUACUUUUCUGAGAUAGCAAAUUUUUUAUUAUUUUCUUACGACCUCGUAUGAGAAUCACUUCACCUAAAUAUAUAAACCAAAAGUCAUAUAUAUCAACAUGUGAUUAUUAUUAUUGAUUGAAAAUAUAAGAUCAGCUAAUCAUCAUUUGUCAAGUCAAUAUCAUAUCUGAUCUCUUAUCCAUAAGGGCUGGGUCCAAAAGACAGCUCGAUUCAAUUUUGGAGCUGUCAAACUAUUAAGCUUUUGAGUUACGGAGAUGCUUCUUAGAAAGAUCAAAAAUUAGUUCAGAUCAAUUACGAAUCAGCUCCAUUAUGAAAUAUCCAUAGGAAUAUUUCAAAAAAAAAAAGGGACAAUAAAGAUCAGUUAUGAAUCAGCUCUCACAGAAGAAUUAAAACAUUAUAAAAAAGAUCAAGGGACAAUAAGGAACAAUUUUUCUAACAGUUUGUUGCAGACACAAAACUUCACCAUACACAAAUGUGGCACAGUAUCACAGAGACAGUGCAGAGACCAAACUUAUUACAUGAUGUAUUGAUGUUCUAAUCCAUUAAAACGGAGAUAUCUGCGGUCCGGUGGGUUUUCAGAUUACAGCAUAUUGUUUCAUUGUUACCUAAAAGAGAUACAGUAGUGCAUAGAUUACACAACACCAAAUUCUAUAUUUAUUCCGAUGCAGAGAUCCCCAGGAGGAACAUCCUAUUUUGUGGCAGUACGAGUGCCAACGACAGUUACAAGCACUACAUCUUACCUUAACGUGCACAACAUACACGAACAGAGACAACUGCGAUAAGUUUCAUCUGAUAGAAGGAACAGUUGGUCCCAGCAAGCUCGCCCCCAUCUCAGACGAAAUUUCUCGGCUCAUGUUAAAUCCUUCAAUAUAUAUGAUAUCGCUCCUGUCAGAGGCAAUCUCUGGCUUCAAGCAGCUCUUCAGCUGCGUCACUACUUCAAACAUUGUCGGCCUCUGGCUGCCUGGAUCUGCGGUGCACCUGAGAGCUAGAUCCAGGAUCUUCCACGCAGAAGUGGCAUCAUAUUCUCCUUGCAGAGUUUCAUCCAUGAUUUCUUCUAUGCAACCCCGAGACAGACUUGUGGCAAUCAACUUAACAAUGUGAACAUUUCCUGGACCGGGCACGAUCGGAGGUCUGCCGGUGAUCAGCUCCAGGAGAACUACACCAAAGCUGUACACAUCACUCUUCUCGGUGAGCUGGUAGUUUUGAUGGUACCUAAUGAAACAUAAACAUGAUACUCAUUGGUCAGUUGUAAUCCAUAAUGUAUUAGUUAUCCUCUAUGGUCGAGCACACUAAUGCAUAAUAAAUGUCUGCCUUUUGUCAACUAAAGGUUCAAAACACUCCAAGAAGAGAAUCAAAUUGCCAUCUUGGUUAACCAGAAAAAUGGAGAUCCAGUUCAAGGCCAAGGAGUAGUAAUUUGAAGUUAUGGCAAGGAAAUGAAUCCUACUAUGUUGCUUUGGCAAUUGAACUGACUAUUCCUCAAACCUGCAAACUGGAUCUGGGAAUUAAAACAUGGCAGCUCAGGAAGUCAUAGAUCAAGAAUUCUGCUAUCUGACAUUCAAAGAUCUCCACAUAUCCAUGUUGAUCAUAGUGUUUGAAAUAUUAAAUUUAAGAAAAAAAAAACCAUAUUUAGUUCAAAGUUCAAACCAAAUACUGAUGUCUCAUCCAAGUCCAAUAGGUCAGCUGCAUCAAGUCAAACUAGUAUCAUAAUAUAUCUAGAAUUAUGAAUGUAUAGCAAAAGAACAUAUUGAGGACAUAAAACCUAAGUAUGAAGAGAUCGUAAUACCCCCAACUAAUCUUACCUUUGAAAAAUGAUGAUGGGUUAGAUUAGCAUGGACCGAUUUUAUAGGGUAACUACUAAAAAUUUAGCAUGAAGUAUAUUCGGUUACAUAGUUAAAGUUUAAUUCUUUUUAGAUCACUAUACCAGUGGGCCUAUUAGAUUGGGUGGUGACAGGAAGACAUACUAAGAUAAAUGAAUUCAUUUUCCAUCUUAUUUUUCUGCACAUUGUCGCUUCUACAUUGAGAUGUAUGAAUAAAUUGUUUAUAAAUAAUUUAGAGUGGGGUAAAAAGAGUGUAGAAAACAUACUCGGGAUCAAUAUAUCCAGGGGUGCCAACCACUGUCCCUGUGGACACAUAGGUUUGCUCAUCGCUAUGGAAAGAUUUGGAUAACCCAAAGUCCCCUAUUUUAGCCUCUAGUUCUUCGCUCAAGAGAAUGUUGCUGCUCUUGACAUCUCUA